GACGAACGCUGGCGGCGUGCUUAACACGUGCAAGUCGAACGGAAAGGCCCCCACCUUGGUGGGGGUGCUCGAGUGGCGAACGGGUGAGUAACACGUGGGUGAUCUGCCCUGUACUUCGGGAUAAGCUUGGGAAACUGGGUCUAAUACCGGAUAGGACCAUGGUUUAGUGUCUCAUGGUGGAAAAAUUAUUGUUUUGGUGCAGGAUGAGCUCGCGGCCUAUCAGCUUGUUGGUGGGGUAAUGGCCUACCAAGGCGUCGACGGGUAGCCGGCCUGAGAGGGUGGACGGCCACAUUGGGACUGAGAUACGGCCCAGACUCCUACGGGAGGCAGCAGUGGGGAAUAUUGCACAAUGGGCGCAAGCCUGAUGCAGCGACGCCGCGUGGGGGAUGACGGCCUUCGGGUGGUAAACUCCUUUCGUUAGGGACGAAGCCACACCUUUUUUGGGUGUGGUGACGGUACCUUUGUUAAGAAGCACCGGCUAACUACGUG
rnacentral:rRNA from 1 species